AAGAGAGGGUUGCGUGAAGAUUGCAGGUAAAGCUCACAAUAGCUGUAAAGUCAACUGCACUAUUUGUUGUCGCGUCGAGAUAUAUGAAGUUGAAUAACACCACCGGGCUCGAGCGUCUCGGAUACUCGGUGACUGCACCUAACCAGUGAGGAAUGCUUACGAAAAUACGGCUACUUCUGAGAGCGGUCCUGGCUCUGCUCCUGUUACACCUCGCAUCAGGAACGAUCUCAUCCGAGCAUGCUAGGCUGCCGAACUUGGCUUCAAAUGUAACCCUGGCGGCAUCUGACAUCUUCAACGAUGGAGGAAGAGAG